UGGGGGAUAUUGCACAAUGGAGGAAACUCUGAUGCAGCAACGCCGCGUGAGGGAAGAAGGUCUUCGGAUUGUAAACCUUUGUCCUUGGUGACGAUAAUGACGGUAGCCAAGGAGGAAGCUCCGGCUAACUACGUGCCAGCAGCCGCGGUAAUACGUAGGGGGCAAGCGUUAUCCGGAUUUACUGGGUGUAAAGGGAGCGUAGGUGGUGAGGCAAGUCAGAUGUGAAAACCCGGGGCUCAACCCCGGGACUGCAUUUGAAACUGUGGAGCUUGAGUGAAGUAGAGGCAGACGGAAUUCCCGGUGUAGCGGUGAAAUGCGUAGAGAUCGGGAGGAACACCAGUGGCGAAGGCGGUCUGCUGGGCUUUAACUGACGCUGAGGCACGAAAGCAUGGGUAGCAAACAGG
rnacentral:rRNA from 2 species